rnacentral:rRNA from 1 species
AGAGUUUGAUCCUGGCUCAGGAUGAACGCUAGCAGAGCGCUUAACACAUGCAAGUCGAGCGGGAAAGUUGCCUUCGGGCGACGAGUAAAGCGGCAGACGGGUGAGUAACGCGUACUCAACCUACCUUUAAGAAGUGGAUAACUGUGGAAACGCAGCUAAACCGCUAUAUACUUUAUGAGAGGAAGUUAUCAUAAAGGAAAUGAUUUUAUCGCUUAAAGAGGGGGGUGCGUCCUACUAGGUAGUUGGUGAGAUAGAGGCUCACCAAGCCAAAUGGGUAGCCGUACUGAGAGGUAGAACGGCCACAAUGGGACUGAGACACGGCCCAUACUCCUACGGGAGGCAGCAGUGGGGAAUCUUGCACAAUGGAGGAAACUCUGAUGCAGCGACUCUGCGUGGAGGACGAAGCCCUACGGGGUGUAAACUCCUUUUCUGGGGGAAGAUAGUGACGGUACCUCAGGAAUAAGGGACGGCUAACUACGUGCCAGCAGCCGCGGUAAUACGUAGGUCCCAAGUGUUAUUCGGAAUUAUUGGGCGUAAAGGGUCCGAAGCCUGUUAUGAAAGUCUAUUCUCAAAGGCCGUGGCUUAACCACGGACAGGGGAUAGAAACUACAUAACUAGAGAUGCCGAGGGGAUAAUGGAAUUCCUGGUGGAGAAGUGGAAUUCGUUGAUAUCAGGAGGAAUGCCGAAAGCGGAGGCAGUUAUCUAUCGGUUAUCUGACGGUCAAGGACGAAAGCUUGGGUAGCAAACAGGAUUAGAUACCCUGGUAGUCCAAGCUGUAAAUGAUGCCUGCUAGGUGUUGGUCCGUUUUGAAAGGAUCAGUGCCGUAAC